rnacentral:rRNA from 1 species
UACGUAGGGGGCAAGCGUUGUCCGGAUUUAUUGGGCGUAAAGAGCGUGUAGGCGGCCAGACAGGUCAGCUGUGAAAACUCGAGGCUCAACCUCGAGACGUCGGUUGAAACCGUCUGGCUAGAGUCCGGAAGAGGAGAGUGGAAUUCCCGGUGUAGCGGUGAAAUGCGCAGAUAUCGGGAGGAACACCAAUGGCGAAGGCAGCUCGCUGGGACGGUAUUGACGCUGAGACGCGAAAGCGUGGGGAGCAAACAGG